CAUACGAGAUCUUCAUGCGUGACUGGAGUUCAGACGUGUGCUCUUCCGAUUAAGUUGGCUUAGAAGCAGCCAUCUUUUAAAGAUAGCGUAACAGCUCACUGGUCUAAUUAAGUUGUCCUGCGGCGAAGAUGUAACGGGGCUCAAGCCAUGAGCCGAAACUUCGGAUGCAUUUAAUGCAUGGUAGCGGAGCGUAGUGUGACAUAGUUCCAUGCGUCCUUCGUUUUAUAGCGGACUGCCCAGGCUUUCGAGCCUGUGUGGAGGCGCGUAAAAUACUGGACGCAAGGAGCUUUCUGUGAAGCCGGCCUGUGAGGGAUCCGGUGGAGAGAUCACUAGUGAGAAUGAUGACAUGAGUAACGACAAAGGGGGUGAGAGACCCCCUCGCCGAAAAUCCAAGGGUUCCUGCUUAAAGCUAAUCUGAGCAGGGUAAGCCGGCCCCUAAGCCGAGGGCGAAAGCCGUAGGCGAUGGGAACCAGGUUAAUAUUCCUGGGCCAGGAGGAAGUGACGGAUCACAAAGAUUGUUGGAUCAGGCGUAGUUGCCCCAGCAGUUCAGUGGUUCCUGGAAAUAGCCCUCCAUCAGACCGUACCCUAAACCGACACAGGUGGAUAGGUAGAGUAUACCAAGGCGCUUGAGAGAACUAUGUUGAAGGAACUCGGCAAAAUACCUCCGUAAGUUCGCGAGAAGGAGGCCCGGUUCCUAGGCAACUAGGGGCUGGGGGCACAAACCAGGGGGUGGCGACUGUUUACUAAAAACACAGGGCUCUGCGAAGUCGCAAGACGACGUAUAGGGUCUGACGCCUGCCCGGUGCCUGAAGGUUAAAAGGAGGGGUGAGAGCUCUGAAUUGAAGCCCAGGUAAACGGCGGCCGUAACUAUAACGGUCCUAAGGUAGCGAAAUUCCUUGUCGGGUAAGUUCCGACCUGCACGAAUGGCGUAACGACUUCCCCGCUGUCUCCAACAUAGACUCAGUGAAAUUGAAUUGCCUGUCAAGAUGCAGGCUUCCCGCGGUUAGACGGAAAGACCCCGUGCACCUUUACUACAACUUUACACUGAUAACAGGCACAACAUGUGCAGAAUAGGUGGUAGGCUUUGAAGCAGAAACGCCAGUUUUUGUGGAGCCUCCUUUGAGAUACCACCCUUGUUUUGCUUGUUAUCUAACUGCGGUCCGUUAUCCGGAUCCAGGACCCUGUAUGGUGGGUAGUUUGACUGGGGCGGUCGCCUCCUAAAGCGUAACGGAGGCGCGCGAAGGUUGGCUCAGAGCGGUCGGAAAUCGCUCGUUGAGUG
rnacentral:rRNA from 1 species